GUUUGAUCCUGGCUCAGGACGAACGCUGGCGGCGUGCCUAAUGCAUGCAAGUCGCACGCACCCGCUUCGGCGGGUGAGUGGCGCACGGCUGAGUAACACGUGGGAACCCGCCCCCCGGUGGGGGAUAACGCGACGAAAGUUGCGCUAAUCCCGCAUACGUCCUUCGGGGGAAAGCGCAGUGCGCGCCGGGGGAGGGGCCUGCGGCCCAUCAGGUCGUUGGUGGGGUAAUGGCCUACCAAGCCGAUGACGGGUAGCUGGUCUGGGAGGAUGACCAGCCAGACUGGGACUGAGACACGGCCCAGACUCCUACGGGAGGCAGCAGCAAGGAAUUUUCGGCAAUGGGCGCAAGCCUGACCGAGCAACGCCGCGUGCGGGAUGACGGCCUUCGGGUUGUAAACCGCUUUUCGGGGGGACGACCCUGACGGUACCCCCGGAAUCAGCCCCGGCUAACUCUGUGCCAGCAGCCGCGGUAAGACAGAGGGGGCGAGCGUUGUCCGGAGUCACUGGGCGUAAAGCGCGCGCAGGCGGCAACCUAAGUGUCGUGUGAAAGCCCCCGGCUCAACCGGGGGAGGCCAUGGCAAACUGGGUCGCUCGAGCUGCGGAGAGGCCCCUCGAAUUGCCGGUGUAGCGGUGAAAUGCGUAGAGAUCGGCAGGAAGACCAAGGGGGAAGCCAGGGGGCUGGCCGCAGGCUGACGCUGAGGCGCGACAGCGUGGGGAGCAAACCGGAUUAGAUACCCGGGGUAGUCCACGCCGUAAACGAUGACCACUCGGCGUGUGGCGACUAUUGACGUCGCGGCGCGCCCUAGCUCACGCGAUAAGUGGUCCGCCUGGGAACUACGAGCGCAAGCUUAAAACUCAAAGGGAAUUGACGGGGGCCCGCACAAGCAGCGGAGCGUGUGG
rnacentral:rRNA from 1 species